AUUGAACGCUGGCGGCAGGCCUAACACAUGCAAGUCGAACGGUAGCACAGAGAGCUUGCUCUCGGGUGACGAGUGGCGGACGGGUGAGUAACGUCUGGGAAACUGCCCGAUGGAGGGGGAUAACUACUGGAAACGGUAGCUAAUACCGCAUAACGUCGCAAGACCAAAGUGGGGGACCUUCGGGCCUCACACCAUCGGAUGUGCCCAGAUGGGAUUAGCUAGUAGGUGGGGUAAUGGCUCACCUAGGCGACGAUCCCUAGCUGGUCUGAGAGGAUGACCAGCCACACUGGGACUGAGACACGGUCCAGACUCCUACGGGAGGCAGCAGUGGGGAAUAUUGCACAAUGGGCGCAAGCCUGAUGCAGCCAUGCCGCGUGUAUGAAGAAGGCCUUCGGGUUGAAAAGUACUUUCAGCGGGGAGGAAGGCGGUGAAGUUAAUAGCUUCACCGAUUGACGUUACCCGCAGAAGAAGCACCGGCUAACUCCGUGCCAGCCGCCGCGGUAA
rnacentral:rRNA from 1 species